rnacentral:rRNA from 1 species
UACGUAGGGUGCGAGCGUUGUCCGGAUUUAUUGGGCGUAAAGAGCUUGUAGGCGGCUCGUCGCGUCGGGUGUGAAAACUUGCGGCUUAACCGCAAGCCUGCACCCGAUACGGGCGGGCUAGAGUUCGGCAGGGGAGACUGGAAUUCCUGGUGUAGCGGUGGAAUGCGCAGAUAUCAGGAGGAACACCAGUGGCGAAGGCGGUUGCCUGGAGCUUUGCUGACGCUGAGGAGCGAAAGCAUGGGGAGCAAACAGG